rnacentral:lncRNA from 1 species
AAUUACUAAAAGAGAAAACUGUCAGCUAAGAACAUUACACUCAGCAAAGCUAUCCUUCAGAAAUGAAGGAGAAAUAAAAUCGUUCAGAGAGAAUAAAAAUUAAGAGAGGAGGGUGGCAGAACAAGAUGGUGGAAUAGAAGGCUCCAAUGAUCCCCCCUGCCCCCACCAAGGUCACCAAUUUGACAAGUAUCUGCAGAGAAAGAUC